rnacentral:rRNA from 1 species
UACGUAGGGAGCAAGCGUUGUCCGGAUUCACUGGGUGUAAAGGGUGCGUAGGUGGGUUGCCAAGUCCGUGGUGAAAUCUCCGAGCUUAACUCGGAAACUGCCGUGGAUACUGGUAACCUUGAAUAUCGUGGAGGUAAGCGGAAUAUGUCAUGUAGCGGUGAAAUGCUUAGAUAUGACAUAGAACACCGAUAGCGAAGGCAGCUUGCUACACGAUUAUUGACACUGAGGCACGAAAGCGUGGGGAGCAAACAGG